AAGUAAAGGAAAAUAGCGGUGAACUCAUUUGUGUACACCAUGGCAUACAGACACCUCAUCCCUGUUACAGAGUCCACAUGACCAUUGAGGAUGCUGAUAAUCAAGCAACAGUUAUGCUGAUCGGAAAACAAGCAGAACAAUUCUUUGGAAGCAGUGCAGCUGCAACUACAGCAACUAUUCUUUUUGUACAAGUGCAAUCAACCAAUUAGUUGGAGACUGCAACCCAAACAAUCACCUUUUCAACAAUUGGAGCACUUACUAUAUUGAACAACCUCAAGCAGCAGCUUUUGUUAGAUUAACUUAUAACAUUUUUGUAUAGCUAGCAAGAUUGUACCAGUUCCAAUUCAAUGCACUUGAACUAAAAUGUAAAGUAUGUAAAAACUGUUUCACAAUUUCAGUAAUAUAUAAUAAUUUCCUUUUUGUAUUU